UACAGAGGUCUCAAGCGUUGUUCGGAUUCAUUGGGCGUAAAGGGUGUGUAGGUGGCGCGUUAAGUCGGGUGUGAAAUUUCGGAGCUUAACUCCGAAACUGCAUUCGAUACUGGCGUGCUUGAGGACUGGAGAGGAGACUGGAAUUUACGGUGUAGCAGUGAAAUGCGUAGAUAUCGUAAGGAAGACCAGUGGCGAAGGCGGGUCUCUGGACAGUUCCUGACGCUGAGGCACGAAGGCCAGGGGAGCAAACGGG
rnacentral:rRNA from 1 species